UUUCCGUUUCCAAAUUUAUGUCUACGAAAUCUACAAAAUGUUUAGCCCAUCUACAUUUUCCAAGUAAGCUUACACUAUUUGUUAGUUUUAAACACAUACAACAACAACAUUGAAUCUCAACAAAUAAAUCGCAAAUCUCUUGAUUGGAGGGAUGAAAGCGCAGUUGCAAUUAAGAUAUAAAGCCGAUGAGAAGCUCAAUAAUUGAUGCAUUAAUUGGAAUUUAUUACACUUCACCCAAAAUGUUUGAGUAACCUUUUAACUUUUGGAAAAGAAGUAACACAUUUAAGAUCUUAGAACUUAAAGAUAUUAUUUCAAUGAACCAAGUGGAAAACGCACCCACAUCAUCGCACAUCAUCAUCUUAAGCGGCAAAGGGCAUAAUGCCCGAAUCCAGAAGUGGACAAAAAUUGAAUCUCCCGGCAUAUGGUUAUAAUCCCGCCAAGCGUAUUAGCAACUUGGCCGGGGAAUGGAAAAUGGGAAAUUGGGGGGAGUGUAGAGAACGGUGAGUUUGGUGACGGGAGACGGGGGACCAGCCUAAUCUAUUAUGCGGCUGGACAAUCUGUUUGUGUGAAAAGCCGUCGGCGAUGGUGAUUUAAGAUCCGAGAUGGAACACAAGCAGAACUGUAACGAGCCAGAGAGCGAGUGCGAUUAAAUAAUCUCACAUGAAUGGGAGGCGGCUAUUUGGAGAACUUGGUGCCACGGAACCCGAAGAUGUCUCGAGAUCAAGGGUGAAUAUUGGAUGUUUAAACUAGAUGUAUAGUGCUAGAUGUACGAUGUACUUACCAAGUUCGCUUUCCUAAGUACUAGUGCCGCAGGAGUUAGGUUCGUGUCCGCAAUACCUCCUGCUGCCCAAGUGCUUAUUAAAGCGGCGAGUUG
rnacentral:sRNA from 1 species